rnacentral:sRNA from 1 species
AAUUAGCCCCGAUUGUAGCGGAAAUCCGCCGAUUUUUAUCGGCGAUGAGAGCGGAAAGCGGGAGUAGCG